GCCUGACUCGACCGUUGUGAAUGCAUUGUUUUUCUGCUUCGAAAGAUUCCGCAGGUUAGUUCCACUUGUGUUUUCAUCUUCGUCUGUUUGAAGUAGUGCUCAUAUCGUGAUAUUUCAAUAGUGAAAUAGGACCAUCAAUCGAAGAUUCCUUGGGCAAACAGUUGACCCUCUUCGGACCACACAACAUUCGUUCGAGCACCGCCAAACAUCUCCAACCUAUGCCAAGUUAUAACUCAUUAAAAUUGGUAUGACAACUAUCAUGUUCUCCAUCAUUCUGCAUUUUGUCAUCACCGCCAAAAUUUGCGUGAGGUGGAGGUUGAGGUAGAGACUAGAGGUAGAGAGUAGAGGUAUUCGAAGACACGAGACAAGCCUUAAGGUACCCUACUUUAUUUGAGCUGAAGAAAUGCUGAACAGCUAUUACAUCAAGAUGAUCCAGCUGAAGUUCUCUAGAAAUUAAAGCCAUUUAUUGGUCAAUGACGACAAUGAGGACAGUGAUGGAAAUAUUCUUCGAAAAAUCAAGAUGAGCGGGAUUGAUUUGAAAGAAGAAGUAUUUAGCAUUUAAAAAAUAUUUUCGAUCAGAAUUGAAAAUCGAAGGUCCAGAUAUAGGAGAGUUAUAUAUAUUUUCUAAAUAUUUCGAGGUCGCUGAUUUCGAUUCUGAACUCGUUUUUCAGAAAUGAGAAUUAUUUUUGAUGCUAUGGCUCUUUCAAUUCGAGACCAUCUAAAAGGAACUAAAUUCUGACUCUUGCGGAGGUUUAAGAUUACGUUUCGAGAAAAAAGUUGCAGAAUCGAAAUCAGCAUGACAUCGUUGAUCUAUAAACCCAAUUUGAAAAAGAUACGACACAAAAAAAAAUUUCUCGCAAAUUUUUUCCUGAUGUAUAGUAAGGAAAAAAUUUUCGAUCAGAAUUGAAAUUUGAAGUUCUAGAUAUAGGAGAGUUAAAUAUGUUUUCUGAAUAUUUUGAGGUCGCUGAUUCCGAUUCUGAAAUCGUUUUCCAGAAAUGAGAAUUAUUUUUGAUGCUAUGGCUCUUUCAAUUCGAGACCAUCUAAAGGAACUAAAUUCUGACUCUUGCGGAAGUUUAAGAUUACGUUUCGAGAAAAAAGUUGCACAAUCGGAAUCAGCAUGACAUCGUUGAUCUAUAAACCCAAUUUGAAAAAGAUACGACACAAAAAAAUUUUCUCGCAAAUUUUUUCCUGAUGUAUAGUAAGGAAAAAAUUUUCGAUCAGAAUUGAAAUUUGGAGUUCUAGAUAUAGGAGAGUUAAAUAUGUUUUCUGAAAAUUUUGAGGUUGCUGAUUCCGAUUCUGAACUUGUUUUCCAGAAAUGAGAAUUAUUUUUGAUGCUAUGGCUCUUUCAAUUCGAGACCAUCUAAAGGAACUAAAUUCUGACUCUUGCGGAAGUUUAAGAUUACGUUUCGAGAAAUUUCGAGAAAAAAGUUGCAGAAUCGGAAUCAGCAUGACAUCGUUGAUCUAUAAACCCAAUUUGAAAAAGAAACGACACAAAAAAAAUUUUCUCGCAAAUUUUUUCCUGAUGUAUAGUAAGGAAAAAAUUUUCGAUCAGAAGUGAAAAUUGAAGUUCUAGAUAUAGGAGAGUUAAAUAUGUUUUCUGAAUAUUUUGAGGUCGCUGAUUCCGAUUCUGAACUCGUUUUCCAAAAAUGAGAAUUAUUUUUGAAGCUAUGGCUCUUUCAAUUCGAGACCAUCUAAAGGAACUAAAUUCUGACUCUUGCGGAGGUUUAAGAUUACGUUUCGAGAAAUUUCGAGAAAAAAGUUGCAGAAUCGGAAUCAGCAUGACAUCGUUGAUCUAAAAACCCAAUUUGAAAAAGAUACGAAACAAAAAAAAUUUUCUCGCAAAUUUUUUCCUGAUCUAUAGUAAGGAAAAAAUUUUCGAUCAGAAUUGAAAAUUGAAGUUCUAGAUAUAGGAGAGUUAAAUAUGUUUUCUGAAUAUUUUGAGGUCGCUGAUUCCGAUUCUGAACUCGUUUUCCAGAAAAGAGAAUUAUUUUUGAAGCUAUGGCUCUUUCAAUUCGAGACCAUCUAAAGGAACUAAAUUCUGACUCUUGCGGAGGUUUAAGAUUACGUUUCGAGAAAUUUCGAGAAAAAAGUUGCAGAAUCGGAAUCAGCAUGACAUCGUUGAUCUAAAAACCCAAUUUGAAAAAGAUACGAAACAAAAAAAAUUUUCUCGCAAAUUUUUUCCUGAUGUAUAGUAAGGAAAAAUUUUCGAUCAGAAUUGAAAAUUGAAGUUCUAGAUAUAGGAGAGUUAAAUAUGUUUUCUGAAUAUUUUGAGGUCGCUGAUUCCGAUUCUGAACUCGUUUUCCAGAAAAGAGAAUUAUUUUUUAUGCUAUGGCUCUUUCAAUUCGAGACCAUCUAAAGGAACUAAAUUCUGACUCUUGCGGAGGUUUAAGAUUACGUUUCGAGAAAUUUCGAGAAAAGAGUUGCAGAAUCGGAAUCAGCAUGACAUCGUUGAUCUAUAAACCCAAUUUGAAAAAGAUACGAAACAAAAAAAAUUUUCUCGCAAAUUUUUUCCUGAUGUAUAGUAAGGAAAAAAUUUUCGAUCAGAAUUGAAAAUUGAAGUUCUAGAUAUAGGAGAGUUAAAUAUGUUUUCUGAAUAUUUUGAGGUCGCUGAUUCCGAUUCUGAACUCGUUUUCCAGAAAAGAGAAUUAUUUUUUAUGCUAUGGCUCUUUCAAUUCGAGACCAUCUAAAGGAACUAAAUUCUGACUCUUGCGGAGGUUUAAGAUUACGUUUCGAGAAAUUUCGAGAAAAAAGUUGCAGAAUCGGAAUCAGCAUGACAUCGUUGAUCUAUAAACCCAAUUUGAAAAAGAUACGACACAAAAAAAAUUUUCUCGCAAAUUUUUUCCUGAUGUAUAGUAAGGAAAAAAUUUUCGAUCUGAAUUGAAAAUUGAAGUUCUAGAUAUAGAAGAGUUAAAUAUGUUUUCUGAAUAUUUUGAGGUCGCUGAUUCCGAUUCUGAACUCGUUUUCCAGAAAAGAGAAUUAUUUUUGAUGCUAUGGCUCUUUCAAUUCGAGACCAUCUAAAGGAACUAAAUUCUGACUCUUGCGGAGGUUUAAGAUUACGUUUCGAGAAAUUUCGAGAAAAAAGUUGCAGAAUCGGAAUCAGCAUGACAUCGUUGAUCUAUAAACCCAAUUUGAAAAAGAUA